AAACAUGUGGGUGCUGCCAUUUUGGGCUCCUUCCAUGUGGUCAGCGGUAUCCUGAAUGCUAACCAUGCGGUCGCAGCCAUUUUUGGAAGUGGGGGGGUGAGAACGCGAGCUCGGGAUAACAGAAGUUUGGUUAGACGGGUGCACUGAAGCACUCAAUCUACCUUUUAUACAGCUAGUGCAAACAAAACUGAAAGCACUGAGUCCACAGCCAAUCCGGGAAAGAAGCCGGGCAGCCUCCCCCCCCUCCUCUCUGGGGGAGAGACAAACUGCUUACAUACAAACCACGCGGCUUUUAAAAUGGUGGGCGCCUGCUGCCGACUCCCCCGCGCCACGUGACCUCCACGCGGGCGCUCAGAGAGGCCCGUCCCGGUUCGCCGCCGCUUGCUGGGGUCUGCCGCUGCCCGGGCGCGACCGCUCACGGCAAAAACGCAAGCCGCGGCUUUCCUACCGCCGCCGCGCCGCCGCUUUUGGGAGCCGCACGCCGCGGAAACCCGACCGACAGAACCCCGCUGCCGCCGAGACGGCACACAGAGAACACCGGACUCGCUGCACCCGCGCAAACUGCACGGAAUCCGCAAACCUCCUCGGGACUGGGCUUUCCCUUCACCGGGAGCUCACCACCACCCUCCGGGGGCUCCCCCAGGGUCCCACUAACACUCGCUGGGAAUACUCACCCCGCCUGGGGACUGUGGCUGGCUGUGAGAGCUGUAUAGAAGUCCUCGUCUAGAAUCGAUCCGCCGUGGGUGCGGCGGGUUCUCGAUCCCACCCUCUAAAUUUCUUGCCGACAAAAACGUGACGAAGAAAUCAGAGGCAGAUGAUAGUCCCAAAAGCUAACGUAAUCCACUAGUGGAAUUACCAGCUGCUUCGUGGCCAUAGUGGGAGACGAACACGUGGGGCGCCACCUGCGGUAAUCUGUGUUUUUCCUGGGCCUUCUAUGAGUCCAAAUCUGGCUAGCAUAAGGCUCUAGCCCACACGGAUCCGCAUAGACAAAGACUUCCCCACAACGUGCCACAGUAAGGAGCAAACAGGUGCCAAUGCCAGGGGUAACUGGCAAAGAACACAGGUCAAGAACAGGAGUUCAGCCCUUGGCUACAGGAUGCAAAGGAAUUUGCAAGGCAGCUGAGUGCUUGAGAUGCUGGAGGCCUGCCAAGCUGCCUGCUCUGCUCUUGCUGCUGAAACCCUGAACUGCAGUGCUCUUGAUGUUCUAAAUUGAAGCAGACUCCAAUUAGCUUAGUCCAAUUGGAAUUUAUUAAUUACAGCAAGCAAGGCAUAAGCAAAUCAGCGCUGGGCGACAGGGGAGCCUUGCCUCGCCAAUCUACUGCAGCACCCACUACCCGUUACAGUCCAGCUUUACACUGUAUCUCUUCUCGUUGGUGACGUGUGCAGAAAGUACUCUGCGCAUGUGUCCUCCUGUCGCUAAGGGGUCGUCCUCUGCCUUCUGGUGGUCCUCAGAUGAAGGCUGCUAGUCUUCCUCAGGUGUCCUUUGGUGGACUUCUCCUUAUUUAGUGCUCAUGCCUGAAAUUCUAGAACUUAUGGUUUAUUGAGCAAGCACUUAUUAAGCAAGGGUAUUUUAAGCAAGCAUUUAUUAAGCAAGAAUAUACUUGUGAUUGUAUGCGGUUUUGGUCACACGCGGUUUUAGGCCUAAGUAUUUUCCAUUCCCUCAAUCUUUAACCCUUUAGUGAAACAAAACACGUUAGGUUCCAUCACAUUGAGAGCAACACUUGGGCCUAAAUCCCACUGGAAUCAGCAUUUCUUAGAGGAAUGAUUUACACUGCUCAUCCUCUUGGCAGGUAACCCAGGCCAUGUUUUAGAAUGCAGGAACCUAAGUGAGUCUCUGAAGGGUCCUGGAAGGAACAAGCCCAGUGACAGUAAGCGGCAUUCCCAGGCUGCUCCCACGGGGAAAAUUCCAACAAGCUGAAGACUCUGGAUAAAGGGGUGACUGAUUUUGAGCGAAAGUGGCCUUCAAUGGCAAGGUGCUGGACAUGAAGGUAAGGGGCACAAAGCACCCUCAUGUCCUAUUCCUGCAUCUUUCUAGGAACCAGAGGAAUGCUGCCUCUGCCUGUGAGGAGCUAGUCUUGGGAACUAAUACUUCCUUUCUGGUUUGACUUUUGUAGUUUUUUCUUUUGGACAGCAGCUCUUUGCAACAUCAGCUGAGCCUGCCCCAAGCCUGGCUGACUGCAUCCUGUCAGCAAAGGCAUUGCAGGAAGUCUGGAGAGGAGGCAGCGCUGCCUGAGGAGGCUUUGUGCCCUGCCAGCUCAGCGCAGGACUGGCAAUCAGAAGGCCUAAAUGCUGCACUCCAUGGGAACAUUCCCUUGCCUGUCAGCCUGCACUUAAGCUGUCCCCAGCCCUGGCGCUGUCCACUGCCCUGGCGCUGUGCCUUGCACCCGGACUGUCCCAUCCGUGGCUGCGCACCUGCCGAGGCUCUCCCCCAUCACGGAGGGGCCCCGCCCCGCCCCGGGCGCCCCCUGGCGGCUGCCCCGCCCCGGGGCGCUCCCUUCCCAUGGCGCCGCCCAGCGACAGCCGCCCCUCACUGCAGGCACGGAGGCGGUGUUCGGGCCCUGAUGCUGGGCCUGGGCCUUGGCUCCCUCCUUUCCAAGAGAGAGGAGGGCUCCAAAGGAGGCGUCUUCCAACUGUUUCCCUCUGCUUUACAUUUUGGGGGCAGGAACUCUGCCCUGAAGGUGGCCCUAGGACGACCAUAAUUGCUAGAGCAGGAAAAGUCCCCUUCGUUCUCCCACCGGCUGCUCAAAAUCACUGCCCAGCUCUGGAAGCACAAACAGCCCAGGCAGAGUGGUGCCAUCCCUGCCCAGCCUGGGCUCUCUGGCACAGCAGAAGCAGCAGCGGCGCUUGCCUUGGCUUCACCUGGGAAGGCUCUGUAGAACUUCAGCAUCCACAUCAGUAGGA